UAGGGAAUCUUCGGCAAUGGACGGAAGUCUGACCGAGCAACGCCGCGUGAGUGAAGAAGGUUUUCGGAUCGUAAAGCUCUGUUGUAAGAGAAGAACGAGUGUGAGAGUGGAAAGUUCACACUGUGACGGUAUCUUACCAGAAAGGGACGGCUAACUACGUGCCAGCAGCCGCGGUAAUACGUAGGUCCCGAGCGUUGUCCGGAUUUAUUGGGCGUAAAGCGAGCGCAGGCGGUUAGAUAAGUCUGAAGUUAAAGGCUGUGGCUUAACCAUAGUAGGCUUUGGAAACUGUUUAACUUGAGUGCAAGAGGGGAGAGUGGAAUUCCAUGUGUAGCGGUGAAAUGCGUAGAUAUAUGGAGGGACACCGGCGGCGAAAGCGGCUCUCUGGCUUGUAACUGACGCUGAGGCUCGAAAGCGUGGGGAGCAAACAGGAUUAGAUACCCUGGUAGUCCACGCUGUAAACGAUGAGUGCUAGGUGUUAGACCCUUUCCGGGGUUUAGUGCCGUAGCUAACGCAUUAAGCACUCCGCCUGGGGAGUACGACCGCAAGGUUG
rnacentral:rRNA from 1 species